GGUUCAGUGGCAUAAUGGUAUCACACUCCGCAUUCCUAUGUAGUUUGCGGUAUGCUUUACGGAGAGUUCGGAGUUCGAUUCUCCGCUGAGCCA